UCCGGAGCCCGGCUGGCUACCCACACCUGCACCUCGUUAACCUCCAUCCCCGGCCGCCGCACCUGCCAGCCAUCAGCCUCAUCACGACCAGUAUUUCUACCCCGGCUUUCCACUCCAUCCUCGCUCGAUCGUCGCAGCUCCUGACUUGGUUCACUCACCUCUGCCUCCCAGCUCGGCCAGCCGGGCCAGCCUAAGCUCCUUCCGCUCCUCCAGAUGCUCGGUCCCCCGCGUCCUCGCCUGCCACUCCCCUUCUUUCCUCCCGUCCCUCCUCGUCCCCCUCUUUCCUCAUUAAACCUCUUUUGCAAAUCCUCA